UACGAAGGGUGCUAGCGUUGUUCGGAAUUACUGGGCGUAAAGGGUGCGUAGGUUGUUUGGCAAGUUAGUGGUGAAAGCCCAGAGCUUAACUCUGGAAUUGCCAUUAAAACUGCCAGGCUAGAGAGUGUUAGAGGUGAGUGGAAUUUCUAGUGUAGGAGUGAAAUCCGUAGAUAUUAGAAGGAACAUCAAUGGCGAAGGCAGCUCACUGGGUCACAUCUGACACUGAGGCACGAAAGCGUGGGUAGCAAAC
rnacentral:rRNA from 1 species